UGAAAUGUGAAGAUAAGGAAAGUAUUUUUCAGAUAGCUUUAAGAGAGCCUCGCUUGGUGGGAAGAGGUAGUGAUGUUGGAAGAGAAAAUGGCCUUUGAACAGAUUGGUUGACUAGUUGAAACCAAUACAGGUGCGCCUGUUAUAGCGCCACAGUAUGUUUGUACUGGAAGAGUGGACUUUUUAUAAAGUCAAUCAAAGGUGGUACCGCGAAAGUUAACAGCUCUCGUCCUUUUA
rnacentral:ncRNA from 1 species